CCUGUGUAUGACUACGUGGAUUCACCAAGUACCCCUUUGGAUACGCCAAGUUCGACUACAUGGAUACGACAAGUUCCUCUCCGGGCAUGUACGACUACUGUUGCCAAGAUCGCGAGUACCUCUACCGUCGCCAUGAACGACUACUUCCUCUACAUCGUACCGAACUCGACCCGCUCCGAAAAGGCACGCUUCGAAGGUAUAACCCCGAGACGACGCUAGUGAAUGAAUGCUUGUGUGUUGUAUGAGAUGCUCGUGUUGCACCAUGUCCGAAUUGUCAUUGCAAGUUCCUCCUCGUUUGCCAUGCCGUCGACCCGUGGGAACCCAGUAACCGGGAUCACCCCACCAUCUUUUGCAUGUUCCGCACAUCCGCACACUUUCUUUUGCACCGACAUCUCAACGAGUUGUCGGAUCACCGGAGUGUUGUCGUGGCACCAUUUCCGUUUCACCGCCGUGGCACUUUUUUUCGUUCCGCCAUGGCGACAAAUGCCUCGUACCAUGGUCAGGUUAACGUUUUCAUAAAAUUGCAUAAACUUGCAUAUGUCAUCUGCAUCAUGAUAACAACAUUUAAAAUGUUUAAAAUUGUUGUUUGCUUUAAAUUGCUAAAUGACAUAUGGGGAUUUUCCGGAAUUGUUGUUUGUGUUUCUGGCCUCAUUUAAACUUGCCUAAAUAGUUAGUUUAACUAUGCUUCACCUUUUUCCAUGUUUAACGACAUUUAAUAUUGUUUGGUAGCCUAAACGAGAGAGAACUAAAUAAUUUAUGUGGUGUUUCGUCUAUAUGCAACUCGUUGCAUAUUGAGCUCCACUUAACUUGUAGUAUAGUUAGUUGCACUUUGCCAUGCCAUGCUUCAUUAAACCGGACAUGCAUCAUACUUGAUUGUGCAUCAUGCCAUGAUUAUGCUUGUGUUUUUACCAUAUUGUUUGCUUCUUUCCAGUUUGCUUCUCUCGUUAGCUUCGGUUUCAUUCCGGAGUUGUGAGGAUUUGUUCGACUAUGUCUGUUUGUCUUCUUCAUGGACUCGUUCUUCUUCCUUGCGGGAUUUCAGGUAAGAUGACCAUUACCCUCGAUAUCACUUCUAUCUUUGCUUGCUAGUUGCUUCGUUCUAUCGCUAUGCUGUGCUACCCAUCUCUUACUUUUCAAGCCUCCCAAAUUUCCAUGCCAGCCUCUAACCUGUUCACCCUUCCUAGCAAACCAUUGUUUGGCUAUGUUACCGCUUUGCUCAGCCCCUCUUAUAGCAUUGUUAGUUCCAGGUGAAGUUGAAGAUUGCUCCAUGAUGGAUAGGAUUAUGUUGGGAUAUCACAAUAUCUCUUAUUUAAUUAAUGCAUCUAUAUACUUGGUAAAGGGUGGAAGACUCGGCCUUAUGCCUGGUGUUUUGUUCCACUCUUACCGCCCUAGUUUCCGUCAUACCGGUGUUAUGUUCCUUGAUUUUGUGUUCCCUAUGCGGUUGGGUGAUUUAUGGGACCCCCUUGACAGUUCGCUUUGAAUAAAACUCCUCCAGCAAGGCCCAACAUUGGUUUUAACAUUUGCCACCUAAGCCUUUUUCCCUUGGGUUCUGCAGACUCAAGGGUCAUCUUUAUUUUAACCCCCCUAGGCCAGUGCUCCUUCGAGUGUUGGUCCGAAACGGGUAGACUGCGGGGCCACCACGGGGCAACUCGAGGGCUGGUUUUACUCGUAGGCUGACCUAUCCGUUGUGCCCUGAGAACGAGAUAUGUGCAGCUCCUAUCAGGAUUUGUCGGCACAUCAGGCGGCUUUGCUGGUCUUGUUUUACCAUUGUCGAAAUGUCUUGUAAACCAGGAUUCCGAGUCUGAUCGGGUCUUCUUGGGAGAAGGAAUAUCCUUUGUUGACCGUGAGAGCUUGUGAUGGGCUAAGAUGGGACACCCCUGCAGGGUAUGAACUUUCGAGAGCCGUGCCCGCGGUUAUGUGGCAGAUGGGAAUUUGUUAAUGUCCGGUUGUAGAGAACUUGACACUUGACUUAAUUAAAAUGCAUCAACCGCAUGUGUAGCCGUGAUGGUCUCUUUUCAGGCGAGUCCGGGAAGUGAACACGGUUUUGGGUUAUGUUUGACGUAAGUAGGAGUUCAGGAUCACUUCUUGAUCAUUUCUAGCUUCUCGACCGUUCCGUUGCUUCUCUUCUCGCUCUUAUUUGCGUAUGUUAGCCACCAUAUAUGCUUAGUGCUUGCUGCUACUCCACCUCAUUACCCCCUUCCUUUCCCAUAAGCUUAAAUAGUCUUGAUCUCGCGGGUUUUGAGAUUGCUGAGUCCUCGUGACUCACCAGAUACUAUCACAACAGUUGCAGGUGCCGAUGAUACCAGUGCAGGUGAUGCAACCGAGCUCAGAUGGGAGCUCAACGAAGAUCUUGGUUGUUGCUAUGUUUCGUUUCAUGUUGAUCAGUAGUGGAGCCCAGUUGGGACGAUCGGGGAUCUAGCAGUUGGGUUAUCUUCUUUUCUUUUGCCUUCGUCCGUAGUCAGACUAUGUGUGUACUCUGAAUGAUGUAUGAAUUAUAUGUUCAUUGUGUGAAGUGGCGAUUGUAAGCCAACUCUUUAUCCCAUUCUUGUUCAUUACAUGGGAUUG
rnacentral:lncRNA from 1 species